rnacentral:rRNA from 1 species
AGACCCGAAACCCGGUGAUCUAGCCAUGGGCAGGUUGAAGGUUGGGUAACACUAACUGGAGGACCGAACCGACUAAUGUUGAAAAAUUAGCGGAUGACUUGUGGCUGGGGGUGAAAGGCCAAUCAAACCGGGAGAUAGCUGGUUCUCCCCGAAAGCUAUUUAGGUAGCGCCUCGUGAAUUCAUCUCCGGGGGUAGAGCACUGUUUCGGCAAGGGGGUCAUCCCGACUUACCAACCCGAUGCAAACUGCGAAUACCGGAGAAUGUUAUCACGGGAGACACACGGCGGGUGCUAACGUCCGUCGUGAAGAGGGAAACAACCCAGACCGCCAGCUAAGGUCCCAAAGUCAUGGUUAAGUGGGAAACGAUGUGGGAAGGCCCAGACAGCCAGGAUGUUGGCUUAGAAGCAGCCAUCAUUUAAAGAAAGCGUAAUAGCUCACUGGUCGAGUCGGCCUGCGCGGAAGAUGUAACGGGGCUAAACCAUGCACCGAAGCUGCGGCAGCGACACUGUGUGUUGUUGGGUAGGGGAGCGUUCUGUAAGCCUGUGAAGGUGUGCUGUGAGGCAUGCUGGAGGUAUCAGAAGUGCGAAUGCUGACAUAAGUAACGAUAAAGCGGGUGAAAAGCCCGCUCGCCGGAAGACCAAGGGUUCCUGUCCAACGUUAAUCGGGGCAGGGUGAGUCGACCCCUAAGGCGAGGCCGAAAGGCGUAGUCGAUGGGAAACAGGUUAAUAUUCCUGUACUUGGUGUUACUGCGAAGGGGGGACGGAGAAGGCUAUGUUGGCCGGGCGACGGUUGUCCCGGUUUAAGCGUGUAGGCUGGUUUUCCAGGCAAAUCCGGAAAAUCAAGGCUGAGGCGUGAUGACGAGGCACUACGGUGCUGAAGCAACAAAUGCCCUGCUUCCAGGAAAAGCCUCUAAGCAUCAGGUAACAUCAAAUCGUACCCCAAACCGACACAGGUGGUCAGGUAGAGAAUACCAAGGCGCUUGAGAGAACUCGGGUGAAGGAACUAGGCAAAAUGGUGCCGUAACUUCGGGAGAAGGCACGCUGAUAUGUAGGUGAAGUCCCUCGCGGAUGGAGCUGAAAUCAGUCGAAGAUACCAGCUGGCUGCAACUGUUUAUUAAAAACACAGCACUGUGCAAACACGAAAGUGGACGUAUACGGUGUGACGCCUGCCCGGUGCCGGAAGGUUAAUUGAUGGGGUCAGCGCAAGCGAAGCUCUUGAUCGAAGCCCCGGUAAACGGCGGCCGUAACUAUAACGGUCCUAAGGUAGCGAAAUUCCUUGUCGGGUAAGUUCCGACCUGCACGAAUGGCGUAAUGAUGGCCAGGCUGUCUCCACCCGAGACUCAGUGAAAUUGAACUCGCUGUGAAGAUGCAGUGUACCCGCGGCAAGACGGAAAGACCCCGUGAACCUUUACUAUAGCUUGACACUGAACAUUGAGCCUUGAUGUGUAGGAUAGGUGGGAGGCUUUGAAGUGUGGACGCCAGUCUGCAUGGAGCCGACCUUGAAAUACCACCCUUUAAUGUUUGAUGUUCUAACGUGGACCCGUGAUCCGGGUUGCGGACAGUGUCUGGUGGGUAGUUUGACUGGGGCGGUCUCCUCCUAAAGAGUAACGGAGGAGCACGAAGGUUGGCUAAUCCUGGUCGGACAUCAGGAGGUUAGUGCAAUGGCAUAAGCCAGCUUGACUGCGAGCGUGACGGCGCGAGCAGGUGCGAAAGCAGGUCAUAGUGAUCCGGUGGUUCUGAAUGGAAGGGCCAUCGCUCAACGGAUAAAAGGUACUCCGGGGAUAACAGGCUGAUACCGCCCAAGAGUUCAUAUCGACGGCGGUGUUUGGCACCUCGAUGUCGGCUCAUCACAUCCUGGGGCUGAAGUAGGUCCCAAGGGUAUGGCUGUUCGCCAUUUAAAGUGGUACGCGAGCUGGGUUUAGAACGUCGUGAGACAGUUCGGUCCCUAUCUGCCGUGGGCGCUGGAGAACUGAGGGGGGCUGCUCCUAGUACGAGAGGACCGGAGUGGACGCAUCACUGGUGUUCGGGUUGUCAUGCCAAUGGCACUGCCCGGUAGCUAAAUGCGGAAGAGAUAAGUGCUGAAAGCAUCUAAGCACGAAACUUGCCCCGAGAUGAGUUCUCCCUGACCCUUUAAGGGUCCUGAAGGAACGUUGAAGACGACGACGUUGAUAGGCCGGGUGUGUAAGCGCAGCGAUGCGUUGAGCUAA